AUGAAAAUGUGGAACAAGAGGGAGCAAAUCUUGAGGACAUUGGGGGAGAAGAGGGAGAUGAGACUGGAAGGCAUUUAUAUGACAUGCCUAGGCCUCGCCGCUAGAACUAUGAAGGAUGCAGUUGUCCCGCUUGUGAUGCAAUUUGUUGAGUGCAACAUCAGUGGACCACAUUGUCAUAGUCGCAAGGUAGCCAUUUUUCCAUUAGCUUUUAUCCUUGAAGGUCCCUCUGUCAAGCAACUUGCUCCUGUAGUUCAUUUGUUGCUUGACAUGAUGAAAGAUCCUGAGAAAGGUGUAAGAGGCAGGGCUGCAUGGACUCUUGGGAGGAUGUUUGAGCUUGUGGGUGCAAAUAGAAUCAUCAGAAAUGAGGGGGGCCUUCCUGGGAUCAUGGCCGUCUUGAUAGAGAGGAGCAAAGAUGUCCCUCAAGUGUCCAUUGAAGUGUAUAGAGCUCUAUAUUUUCUUGCGAGGGGUUAUGGAGAAGAUGCAAAGUCAUGCGAGCUUUCACCUUUUGUUAAGCCUCUUAUUGAUGCUCUUCUUUGUGCUUCAGAACUUACUAAGGAGAACCCUUUUAGGCUUCCAGCAUGUACAUCUGCUUAUGAAGCACUGAGUGAGAUUGUGAGAGUUUGCAACAUUGAAGAAUUAGAAGUUUGCAGGGCUGUAGGAGGCUUAAUGUCUCAAAUCUUUACGAGAUUGAACAUCAUGAUUAAUCGUCAAGGUGAAGCAGUUUCAUCUGUUGAGAGGAAGAACCGUGGCCUUCUUGAGGUUUUGCUGUGUGGUCUACUAGAACUCUUAAUCCGGAGGCUUGGCACUAGAUACUUGGCGACCCGUGUGGCAUUUACACUUAAUGGGUCUGCUAAGUGUGUAUUGCUCCUAUUGUGCAUUGUCUUAACCAGUGACAGUAAUAGUGCACGUGAUGGAGCAGCCCUUGCCAUUGGUGCUCUUGCUCAUGCAAUUGGUGGUGAGUUUGUACAACACAUGCCUAUCCUGCUACAGUACUUUAAUGUGAAGCGGCUCUCCCAAGUUUAUUUAGAAGUGAUGUGUGAUAUCUGCCGUGUCUUGGGAAAAGAGGAAGAAGUGGUGCCGUCGUAUGAUCAUAUUAUGGAAGUUCUCUACCAAGGUAUUGUAGAAUCGACACUUCAACCUUCAAUUUUAUCGAGCUUUGGACAGAUUGCUCUUGCUAUUGGUGAGAAAUUUGAGAAGUACGUGCCUCCAGUUAUGGAGAAGCUUAGAGUAGCUGCUGAGUUGAAGUCACAGGAUAAGGAUCAUGGUAACAAGGUUAGAGAGGGGAUAUUUAAGGCUUACCAUGGCAUAUUGGGUGGUAUAAAUGACCAAAAGUCUGGGUUGAAGGUAGCGAUGGCUCUAGUUGACUUCACCGAAGGUGUGUGCAAGGACCACCGCAAGAUCAAGACAAGUUCUUGGGACACAAAGGAUAAAAGUGUGACCAAGGCAGGAAUUGAUGUUGUUAGGAAAGCAACUUGUAUUACCAUGGGGCCAUAG
rnacentral:rRNA from 1 species